GGGUUUGUUGCCUAGCGGCUAAGGCACCGGCCUUUUAAUCCGUGAAUUUUCGGGGGUUCGAGUCCCCCCAAACCCU
rnacentral:tRNA from 1 species